AGACUCAAUCCCUCGGGUUUCCGAGGAGAUUGGACUUGGGUGUUGCCGCUCUGCCGGCUCGCCUUAAAAGACUUAGCGGGAUAGCACCGUAGUCGGCGUAAUAAGUUUCGUCGGUGAAGGUUGUGAUGACUGCUUACAAUCGCCCUUUGGGCAAUUUUUUGACU
rnacentral:misc_RNA from 1 species